AAACCGUGUGCUUCCGGCCGGUCGGAGCUUCCUUGCGGAGUGACGGCGUGCCUUUUGUAGAAUGAGCCGACGAGUGGUUCCUGGUGGCGAGGCUAAGCGAGUGACACGCGGAGCCGGAGCGAAAGCGAGUCCGAAAGGGCGGAGAGUGGCCAGGAGCCGACCCGAAACGGGGUGAGCUACCCAUGGGCAGGCUGAAGCGCGGGGAACACGCGCGUGGAGGGCCGAACCCGGGUCCAUUGCAAAGGGCUGGGAUGACCUGUGGGUAGAGGUGAAAUGCCAAGCGAACCCCGAGAUAGCUGGUUCUCCCUGAAAUGCAUUUAGGUGCAGCCUCGGCGAGCUGCUCCAUGGAGGUAGGGCGCUGGAACGGCGAUGGGGCGUCCCGCUUACUGACCCGUAUCAAACGCCGAAUGCCGUGGA
rnacentral:rRNA from 1 species